rnacentral:rRNA from 1 species
CAGUCGCCACGGUAACACAGAGGGUGCGAGCGUUAAUCGGAUUUACUGGGCGUAAAGCGUGCGUAGGCGGCUUUUUAAGUCGGAUGUGAAAUCCCUGAGCUUAACUUAGGAAUUGCAUUCGAUACUGGGAAGCUAGAGUAUGGGAGAGGAUGGUAGAAUUCCAGGUGUAGCGGUGAAAUGCGUAGAGAUCUGGAGGAAUACCGAUGGCGAAGGCAGCCAUCUGGCCUAAUACUGACGCUGAGGUACGAAAGCAUGGGGAGCAAACAGGAUUAGAUACCCCUGUAGUCCCUGUCUCUUAUAU